AAGCGGAAAGACGUUCCGCUUUACCGGAAGCUGCAAUCGCAUCUAAACAUCCGGUCGAGAACUUGCGGACGUAAACAUGGCACCGAAAGUGUCGGCUGCUAUGCUCAACGACGCCGUCAAAUGCCACCCCGUGCUUUAUGACAAGACUCAUCAUUCGUACAAAGACACGUACCACAAGAAUGAGAUUUGGGCGAAGAUAGCCGCAGAGCUGGGAGUGAGCAAAUGAUCGUAGCUGAAGGCCCAGCAGCCGCCAGUCACGACAUUGAAGAUGUACCAGCAACAGGACAUGCAGACGACUUCGAAGAGAUGGUGGUGCCACAAAGUUUAGAAAGUGCACCGCAUACAGACACACAACCUGCAAGCAAGACAACGGAAUGGCAGCCUGACGAUGCAGAAAGUGAUAUUAAGCCAGAAGUGGUGCUUUAGACAACUGAAACGGUACCAAGACCAAGAAAAGUGGCAAAGACAUCCAAAAAUCCCCACCGCCCCGAUGGCAGCGAUCCCUCCAAUGCGGCAGUUGCUGCCGCAUGCCUUGACCACCUGAAGGCAGUUGGAAAAGAGCGCCGACAAAAAGAGGAGACCCAGGACACUGUCUACCAUUUCUGCAUGGCGGCUGCUGGAUUUUUACGGUCACUGCCCCCUGAUGACCGAUUUGACUGUAUGUGUUCCAUCCAAGCCACCAUUCAAGAAAAAGUAAUAGAAGUGAGGGCUCGGAGGAGCGAAAAAUAGUCCUGAAAACAUAGCUGCAUGGUAUAAUGUACAUACACUGUUUUUUUUCUCUGAUAAUUAUCUGUGAUAUUUAAGUGCCAUUGCGUGUUUGUCAUCCACUUCUUACACAGUUGACUCCCAUGUCGCUACUCAUGCCAGCGCUCCCAUACUGCCCCUUCCUCUGCGAAGGCGCUGAGUGGUCUGUGACUGUACAUAAAAACAUGUCUUUCUCAAAUCCUUUGCCUCAACAUAAUGUGAAAUGAAAAUACAUAUA